GACGAACGCUGGCGGCGUGCUUAACACAUGCAAGUCGAACGGAAAGGCCCUGCUUUUGUGGGGUGCUCGAGUGGCGAACGGGUGAGUAACACGUGAGUAACCUGCCCUUGACUUUGGGAUAACUUCAGGAAACUGGGGCUAAUACCGGAUAGGAGCUCCUGCUGCGUGGGGGGGGUUGGAAAGUUUCGGCGGUUGUGGAUGGACUCGCGGCUUAUCAGCUUGUUGGUGGGGUAGUGGCUUACCAAGGCUUUGACGGGUAGGCGGCAUGGGAGGGUGACCGGCCACAUGGGGACUGAGAUACGGCGCAGACUGCUACGGGAGGCAGCAGUGGGGAAUAUUGCACAAUGGGCGGAAGCCUGAUGCAGCAACGCCGCGUGCGGGAUGCCCGCCUUCGGGUUGUAAACCGCUUUCGCCGGUGACGAAGCGUGAGUGACGGUAAUGGGUAAAGAAGCACCGGCUAACUACGUG
rnacentral:rRNA from 1 species